rnacentral:rRNA from 1 species
AGUGAACGCUGGCGGCAGGCCUAACACAUGCAAGUCGAACGGCAGCACAGGAGAGCUUGCUCUCUGGGUGGCGAGUGGCGGACGGGUGAGGAAUAUAUCGGAAUCUACCCUUUCGUGGGGGAUGACGUAGGGAAACUUACGCUAAUACCGCAUACGAACUGAGGUUGAAAGCGGCGGACCGCAAGGCGUCGCGCGGAUGGAUGAGCCGAUAUCCGAUUAGCUAGUUGGCGGGGUAAAGGCCCACCAAGGCGACGAUCGGUAGCUGGUCUGAGAGGAUGAUCAGCCACACUGGAACUGAGACACGGUCCAGACUCCUACGGGAGGCAGCAGUGGGGAAUAUUGGACAAUGGGCGCAAGCCUGAUCCAGCCAUGCCGCGUGUGUGAAGAAGGCCUUCGGGUUGUAAAGCACUUUUGUUGGGAAAGAGAAGCGGUCGGUUAAUACCCGGUCGUUCUGACGGUACCCAAAGAAUAAGCACCGGCUAACUUCGUGCCAGCCGCCGCGGUAA